UACGAGGGGUGCUAGCGUUGUUCGGAAUCAUUGGGCGUAAAGAGUAUGUAGGCGGCUAAAUAAGUCAGGUGUGAAAUCCCCGGGCUCAACCCGGGAAGUGCAUUUGAUACUGUUUAGCUUGAGUAUGGAAGAGGGUAGUGGAAUUCCAGGUGUAGUGGUGAAAUACGUAGAUAUCUGGAGGAAUACCGGUGGCGAAGGCGGCUACCUGGUCCUAUACUGACGCUGAGAUACGAAAGCAUGGGUAGCAAACAG
rnacentral:rRNA from 1 species